UGGGCGGACCGGGGUGAGGUAAUGUCUGGGAAACUGCCCGAUGGAGGGGGAUAACUACUGGAAACGGUAGCUAAUACCGCAUAACGUCGCAAGACCAAAGAGGGGGACCUUCGGGCCUCUUGCCAUCGGAUGUGCCCAGAUGGGAUUAGCUAGUAGGUGGGGUAACGGCUCACCUAGGCGACGAUCCCUAGCUGGUCUGAGAGGAUGACCAGCCACACUGGAACUGAGACACGGUCCAG
rnacentral:rRNA from 1 species